ensembl:lncRNA
GAGAUGUACAAAAUAAAAUGAGGUCUGAAAACUAUUUUGCAGUGGAUUUCAGUCAGUUAAACUAUAAUGUAGGCUGCAUUAUAUGAAACAACACGUUUAUUGUUUCACUAAUAGCCAUAAUAACAAUGAUAUUGCUUUAAAUUACGUUUUCGACAGCAGCUUUUUGACAGCUUAAUGGCUGUAUGAUCAGAUGUCUGUAUUUGUUCAUAGGAUUAUAAAAAUGUUAAUUAAAACUGCAUAACACUAAGCUUGUUUGUUAAUUUAUUAACUAAUGUUAAAAUAAAAUAACUAAAUUAUAUGGAUAUUUACAAACAAACAACAACAAUAUAUAUAUAAUACUACAAGUCUAGAAUGAAUGUUCUGACUACUUGUAUUUUGACUACUUGUUGUGUCCGGACUGCUUGUGAAUUAGUAAGAGAGACAAUUUUGAAAAUCAGAUAUUGAAUGAGUUUAAUGUAAAUACACUCUUUCUGUAAAUAAUGACUUCACAAGUAUUAUGCGUUGCCAAGAAGUAGUGAGAGCACAUAGUAGAGAUUCAUUUCAGACACUAUAACACAGUGUUUUUAUAGUGUUAACACUAUAAAAAACAAAUUCAGUUGGUCUAAUUUCCAAAACAGUUCAUGCAGUUCUUGAAACAAAGAUGCAUUUAAAAUAAUUAACUUUUUUUUAAACACACAUUUCAGUUUUGUUCUAUGUUCUCUGCAAUACUCAAUAGUUUAAUCAUGUUCUCAUUCAGAACGCACAAUCACAUAAUAAAUUAACUCAAGCAUAACAAUCUCUUUCUCUCUGUGUGUGUGUGUAAUUAUAAAAUACUAUUUAAAAUUGUGCUUUGACAGAUCAACUAAAUAAUUUAUCAAUUACAGAUAAAAUCCCAGUGAGAUAAUUAUGAAAGGUUAUGAAAGGUAAAUUUAUGCUACAACUUACAUAUCUAAUUGACCAUAUAUUAAUUUAAUGUACAUCAUAAUAGCAACACUAUGAAUUUAAAUUUAAUUCAAGUUAAAUUAAAAUCAGUUCACUUAUAUAUAUAUAUAUAAAGAUUUCUAAAAUGUACACCUAUACAUUAAAAAUAAAUAAAUAUAAAUACAUUUAAGAUCGAUGUGAUUAAUUCACAUUUCAUAUACAAUUUCCUUCCAUUUUGAUUACACAUUUAAAAGCAAAAUAUCUUACUGCAAUGCAUGUUUACAAUAUUUUGUGUAUAACGGAAUAACUGAAUAAUAACCUAAUGAAUUACAAUAAGCACUAGCAACAACAUGCCAGUUGGGACCUUCUGCCUUAAUUCUAAUUUGAUCUUUUCACGUUAAAAUAAAAAGCAAUCUAACAACAUGAAUGUGCCCACAAAACCUUUGAUAUUCAGCAUAAUACAGUGUCACAGAUCACUGUUUUCCAGAGACACAAAAUUAGAUCAAUUAAACUCAAAUCUGUUUUAACUGACUAAAUCUCAUUUUCAGAUGAAAUAACAAAAUUAAGGAGACCAUAGUCAUUUACCAAAUUUGCGAUUCAGUUGGAAAUAAAAAGUCAUUUAGAUGUCUUAUUUAUGACUGUAACAGCACUACCAUAUGUUAUCCUCAGUAAUCAUUACAUCACAGAUUGUCUAGUUUCCAGUGUCUCAGGUGUGGUACAAUCACUUCAGGCUUGUGUCAUGGUCAUUGCAACAUUUCCACUUUCAACAGCUGUGAAAAAAGAAGUAAACACAAUGAUGAUGAAUGUC